UCCGAUCUUAAAAUUUUUAAGCCUUGGAUACAAUUCCCAAUAAAGCCAUCCUAACAUCAAUUAAACUUUUAUACAAACCCUUUACUCUUUCCUCAAUAAUCACAAACCUAUCCUCCAAUUCCAUGCAACUUCUCUUUAAUCUCUCAACACUAGAUUUCACAUCCUUUUCCUUUUUACCCUUCAAAUGCUCCUUCAUUUCCCUUGCUGCAUUCACUGUCUUCUGCAACUCAUCAAUCAACAAAGAGGUCCUAGUUCUCCUUUUCAGCACCUUUUUCUCAGCACUUCCUUUUGCUAAUUGCUUUACCAACUCCUCCAACAAUCUCAACCAUGUAAAAGUUGUAGCAUGAGACUUCUUCAUUGAGGGUAAUCUACUUUUUGCAUCAAAUGAU
rnacentral:lncRNA from 1 species